UGGUCCAUGAGGUCUUCAAUAAAACCGUCAGCUCAUAGUUGUGAAAAAUGGAAAGGAGUUGACAGCAAUGUUGGUGAGAGAGUUUUGAGGAGAGUUCAUAUUUGAAGCCAUUGACGAUUUGUAAUUCUUCUCUUCUCCCUAUGCUCUCUCCUUCUCUCUUCUCUCUUUGCUCCCCCAUUUUCUCUCUCUUUAUCAGACUCAAUC
rnacentral:lncRNA from 1 species